CUUUUACAGUAUGAAAAAUUGGUGAUUUAUAAUAACUUAGCAAAUCGCAAAGUGAAAACAGGCGAUAAAUCAUUCAAGUUUCUGACCUAUCAGCUUUCGACGGUAUGGUAUUGGCUUACCGUGGCAGUGACGGUUAACGGGGGAUUAGGGUUCGAUUCCGGAGAGGGAGCCUGAGAAACGGCUACCACAUCUAAGGAAGGCAGCAGGCGCGCAAAUUACCCAAUUCUAACAGUUUGAGAGAGGUAGUAACAAGAAAUAACAAUACAAGGCAGUUAAAAUGCUUUGUAAUUGGAAUGAUAGAAAUUUAAACCCUUUUUAAAGUAUCAAUUGGAGGGCAAGUCUGGUGCCAGCAGCCGCGGUAAUUCCAGCUCCAAUAGCGUAUAUUAAAAUUGUUGCAGUUAAAAAGCUCGUAGUUGAAGUUCUGCUGAAAGUAACCGGUCUGCUUUUAAUAAAAGUGGUAUCUUGGUAUGUAUUUAGCAAUGAUGUCCUUUGAAGUGUUUUUUACUUUAUUGUAAUAAAGCAUAUUCAGGACUUUUACUUUGAGAAAAUUAGAGUGUUUCUAGCAGGCUGACGCUUUGAAUACUGCAGCAUGGAAAWAAAWAAGAUAAGAA
rnacentral:rRNA from 1 species